GAGCAUACCGGCAGCUCCCCAUGCAAGUCGAGCGGUAGCACAGGAGAGCUUGCUCUCUGGGUGACGAGCGGCGGACGGGUGAGUAAUGUCUGGGAAACUGCCUGAUGGAGGGGGAUAACUACUGGAAACGGUAGCUAAUACCGCAUAACGUCUUCGGACCAAAGUGGGGGACCUUCGGGCCUCACGCCAUCAGAUGUGCCCAGAUGGGAUUAGCUAGUAGGUGGGGUAAUGGCUCACCUAGGCGACGAUCCCUAGCUGGUCUGAGAGGAUGACCAGCCACACUGGAACUGAGACACGGUCCAGACUCCUACGGGAGGCAGCAGUGGGGAAUAUUGCACAAUGGGCGCAAGCCUGAUGCAGCCAUGCCGCGUGUGUGAAGAAGGCCUUCGGGUUGUAAAGCACUUUCAGCGAGGAGGAAGGGUUCAGUGUUAAUAGCACUGUGCAUUGACGUUACUCGCAGAAGAAGCACCGGCUAACUCCGUGCCAGCAGCCGCGGUAAUACGGAGGGUGCAAGCGUUAAUCGGAAUUACUGGGCGUAAAGCGCACGCAGGCGGUUUGUUAAGUCAGAUGUGAAAUCCCCGCGCUUAACGUGGGAACUGCAUUUGAAACUGGCAAGCUAGAGUCUUGUAGAGGGGGGUAGAAUUCCAGGUGUAGCGGUGAAAUGCGUAGAGAUCUGGAGGAAUACCGGUGGCGAAGGCGGCCCCCUGGACAAAGACUGACGCUCAGGUGCGAAAGCGUGGGGAGCAAACAGGAUUACAUACCCUGGUAGUCCACGCUGUAAACGAUGUCGACUUGGAGGUUGUGCCCUUUGAGGCGUGGCUUCCGGAGCUAACGCGUUUAAGUCGACCGCCUGGGGAGUACGGCCGCAGGUUAAA
rnacentral:rRNA from 1 species